CAAGUGCCUUUCUAAAGAUUCUAAGAAAGAAAUUGUAUUGGGGCUUUUUUCUGCUUUUUAAUUUGAAUGCUAUUUGGAUGUGGCAAAAAUGAGCAACCCCCAGCACCAUAGCCAUGAGAAAGCGUUCUCAUCAGGUGAUCCCAAGGAUUAGCCAUACCGAGUGCCACAAACCACCUUGCAGCAACAGAGUCAUAAACUGAAGAGGAUAGAAAGGAUUUUAA
rnacentral:lncRNA from 12 species